AGGCAUAAGCACACACGUCACAGUCUAGAGCCUCGGAGAAGGAGCAAAGGACCUCAGACCUGUCCACCUCAGAGGAAGCUUCCUGCCAGAGUUGUCAGCGGGACUCUGCAGAAGAGUAGGGAAUGAGGAAGGGGUGUGACUGGAAACUGCUGCCUCCCUCGCCACAGAUCCAUUGAGACCAUAUCCCAAGGGGAAGUUGUGGACUUUCAAGGUCACCCAUGAGUCCUGCACCAUCUCACUGGACAGGAGGGUGAGGUGACCGUUCCUGUAACAAGGAAAGACUCUUACUGACCUAAGAUAAUCAACUGCAGGUGCCUGAUCCAGGACUCUGAUAUACAACAAUUAGAUCUUGGUGCUCACUCACACACACACACACAACACAUGUGUGCUCACUCACAGGCACGCACCCACACCUGCCAUCAGGCCUGCCACCAGCUCUGAGAUGUGGCUUGGAAUCGAUCUCCAGGGAAGUAUGCUCGGGAGGGACCAGGAGCCUGUGAGCCCAGGCCUAGAGGCUGCAAGCACCUCCGCUCCUCACCACGGCCAUCCUUGCCCUGCACGGAUUAUGGACUUCUCACUGAGAGUUCAGAGCCUGGAAACUAGUUGGAAGGCAGAUCACCAACUCCUGAAGCCAGCUUGACUAUGUGGACACAUGAACCAGAAUGCCCAAGCCACGCCAAGAUUUCCAAAGCCAAAAUGUGUCUCUAUGAAUUUUGGUCCCAGUCCACUAGUAACAGAUGUUUCCAGAAACUGAGAGGGGGAAUAAGGUGAAAGGGUUCUUUAUAGUAUGUGCAGCUUCUGGGGUGGUAAGGGGACACCCUAGUGCUGAGCGCACCAACCUCUGCAUUUCCCAAACAGACCCUCCCUAAGGGAUGCUUGUGACCUUCCAGGGUGAUUGUGUGUGUGUGUGGGGGGGGGGUGUUGAUUCUGCUACAGGUUAUUCAGUGUUGGCUAGAUUAUUUAGUCUUCCUGUGUAGGUUUCUCUUAAAACACCAACUUUAAAACAGUUGUGAGAGUUGAGCCUGGGCAGCACACCUACUGCAGUGGAGAAGCUGAGGUUUAAGGAUCUCAAGUCCAAGGCCAUCCUAGGGCCACCAUAGACUACAUAAGGAGGCUCAGUGUUAACGCCCGUCCUUUGAAUUUUAGUUAAUAAAUAAAAAGGUUUUGAGAAAGUUGGAGA
rnacentral:lncRNA from 1 species